GGGGGAUUAGCUCAGUUGGGAGAGCGCCUGCCUUGCACGCAGGAGGUCAUCGGUUCGAGCCCGUUAUCCUCCACGA
rnacentral:tRNA from 5 species